GGGGGGGGUGGUGUGGCGGGCAUAGAGGGGGUCACAGCUCACAGAGAAGGUGGUGGAAGAGGCAAAGUAAAUUAUAAUAAUCACACUAAAAGAAUCAAUAACAAGAACACAAAUUACUCAUAUGCCAGUGAAAUAUACAUCAAACCAUGUUUGCAUACAUGAACAUGGCCACAGUCCUAUAAUUUUCUCUGAUUUGGAAAUUGUAUGAGACCAUGUCAUCUCAAUACCUGUGCUAGUAUGCAUUACAUCCCACUGUAAGCUAAGAUGAUGCCCACUUCCAGAUAGGUUCCAUGACAAUGCCUUUGAUUGGGUUGAAGUUAAUUUUUAAGGAAAAUUUUAUUAAGGAUGCAUUGAUGGAGGAUUGUGUUAAGUGAUUUGAGAAGUUUGUUGGCAUUUGCUUUUUUGUUACUUUUUUUUUCUGUUUUUGGUUGAAUGGAGUGGUUUUGGAUUGAAUUUGGUUUGUGGUUUUCUAGCUGUAAUGACAGUGUGAGAGAGUUUUUUUCCUUUUUUUCGUUUCUUUUUGGGUGGUGAGGUGGGUAGAGAGAGAGCAAGAGAGAGAGA
rnacentral:misc_RNA from 1 species